rnacentral:rRNA from 1 species
AUUGAACGCUGGCGGCAGGCCUAACACAUGCAAGUCGCACGAGUGGCGGACGGGUGAGUAAUGUCUGGGAAACUGCCUGAUGGAUGGGGCUAACUACUGGAAACGGUAGCUAAUACCGCAUACCAUCGGAUGUGCCCAGAUGGGAUUGGCUAGUAGGGGGGGUAAAGGCUCACCUAGGCGACUAUCCCUAGUUGGUCUGAGAGGAGGACCAGCCACACUGGAACGGAGACACGGGCCAGACUCCUACGGGAGGCAGCAGGGGGGAAUAUUGCACAAUGGGCGAAAGCCUGAUGCAGCCAUGACGCGUGGAUGAAGAAGGCCUUCGGGUUGUAAAGUACUUUCAGCGGGGAGGCGUUACCAGCAGAAGAAGCACCGGCUAACUCCGUGCCAGCAGCCGCGGUAAUUC